AACGAACGCUGGCGGCAUGCCUAACACAUGCAAGUCGAACGGGACCUUCGGGUCUAGUGGCGCACGGGUGCGUAACGCGUGGGGAUCUGCCCUUAGGUACGGAAUAACUCAGGGAAACUUGAGCUAAUACCGUAUAAUGACUUCGGUCCAAAGAUUUAUCGCCUAGGGAUGAACCCCGCGUAGGAUUAGCUUGUUGGUGAGGUAAAGGCUCACCAAGGCGACGAUCCUUAGCUGGUCUGAGAGGAUGAUCAGCCACACUGGGACUGAGACACGGCCCAGACUCCUACGGGAGGCAGCAGUGGGGAAUAUUGGACAAUGGGCGAAAGCCUGAUCCAGCAAUGCCGCGUGAGUGAUGAAGGCCUUAGGUUGUAAGCUCUUUUACCCGGGAUGAUAAUGACAGUACCGGGAGAAUAAGCUCCGCUAACUCCGUGCC
rnacentral:rRNA from 1 species